GCCUGGCUGGCUCAGUUGGUGGAGCACGUGACUCUGAUCCAGAGGUUAUGGGUUGGAGCCCCAUGUUGGGCG
rnacentral:tRNA from 1 species